CAGUUAAGGAACUUUCAAUUCCACACCGACUUCCCGGGACUUCCUGGCGGUCUAGAAAUGUCAGCAGCCUCUGAGGGUCUCACCCUGCCCUCCCCAUCCCCAGCCUGGCUGAUGACACACGGUGGGAUUUGGUAUUCACAGGUUACCAACCCUCCUACUGGUAAGACAUGGGGAAGUGGAUUCUACUGAGUGGACUCAGGUGUUCGGUCAGACUACUCUCAAAUUCAUCCGCAUCCUGAGCUUACCUGCAACUGAAAAUGUCUAAGACUCUGAAGGUUGAGGAGGCCCUUCGUGCAGUGACAACUUGCUGAGCCAGUCUGCGCUUGUUAAAGCACUCUGCGAAUGCGGAGGGCCACACAUUCGGGGUUAGGCGCCAAAGCUAAUUUUUUCUUCAAAUGCACUUUUCUGUAUUUGUAUGGUUAAGGCCUACACCUUGGUCAUUCACGCCACCACUGGUAUGGAAUUCUGAAAGAAUCUGGAUAAACGUGAACUCACAGCCCUCCCCCAAGUGAAAACAUUAAUACUAGAACAUUGGGCCCAAGACCUCGUCCGGCCAGCUACGCCGUUUGCGCUUUUCACUUGGCUACAUGGAUCGCUGGAAGCUGAUCCAGCUGUUCCUUAAACCAAGGAAGGCAGAAACAGUCACCCUGACUGACCCUUGAGGGAGUGCAAUGGGGACCAAAUAGAGAGAAGGAAAGUUCUGAUGUUCUUCAUGGCACAUUUAAUCUGGCAGGGUCUCUCACUGAACCUGGAGCUUAUCAGUUUGGCUUGACUCAUUGGUUAGCAGGUCCCCAGCAUCCUCCUGUCUCCACUCCAUCAGCACUGGGAGCACAGACUCUGCUGACCUGAGGCGAGGAGGGCAGGGCCCCACUCAUGCUGGGGCCUGAAUUCUCUUCAGCAUCCUGGCAGUGCUGUUGCCUCUGUCUGACUGUCCAUGGUAUUAAAUAAAUCUCAUGGC